rnacentral:rRNA from 1 species
UUGAGCGCGCUACCAUGCAGUCGAGCGAACCUUCGGGUUAGCGGCGGACGGGUGAGUAACGCGUGGGAACGUACCCUCUUCUGCGGGAUAGCCACUGGAAACGGUGAGUAAUACCGCAUACGCCCUUCGGGGGAAAGAUUUAUCGGAGGAGGAUCGGCCCGCGUUGGAUUAGGUAGUUGGUGGGGUAAUGGCCUACCAAGCCUACGAUCCAUAGCUGGUUUUAGAGGAUGAUCAGCCACACUGGGACUGAGACACGGCCCAGACUCCUACGGGAGGCAGCAGUGGGGAAUCUUAGACAAUGGGCGCAAGCCUGAUCUAGCCAUGCCGCGUGAGUGACGAAGGCCUUAGGGUCGUAAAGCUCUUUCGCCAGAGAUGAUAAUGACAGUAUCUGGUAAAGAAACCCCGGCUAACUCCGUGCCAGCAGCCGCGGUAAUACGGAGGGGGUUAGCGUUGUUCGGAAUUACUGGGCGUAAAGCGCACGUAGGCGGAUUGGAAAGUUGGGGGUGAAAUCCCAGGGCUCAACCCUGGAACUGCCUCCAAAACUCCCAGUCUGGAGUUCGAGAGAGGUGAGUGGAAUUCCGAGUGUAGAGGUGAAAUUCGUAGAUAUUCGGAGGAACACCAGUGGCGAAGGCGGCUCACUGGCUCGAUACUGACGCUGAG